rnacentral:rRNA from 1 species
AACGAACGCUGGCGGCAGGCUUAACACAUGCAAGUCGAGCGAGAUCUUCGGAUCUAGCGGCGGACGGGUGAGUAACGCGUGGGAACGUGCCCUUUUCUACGGAAUAGCCUCGGGAAACUGAGAGUAAUACCGUAUACGCCCAGUAAUGGGGAAAGAUUUAUCGGAGAAGGAUCGGCCCGCGUUAGAUUAGGUAGUUGGUGGGGUAAUGGCCUACCAAGCCGACGAUCUAUAGCUGGUUUGAGAGGAUGAUCAGCCACACUGGGACUGAGACACGGCCCAGACUCCUACGGGAGGCAGCAGUGGGGAAUCUUAGACAAUGGGGGCAACCCUGAUCUAGCCAUGCCGCGUGAGUGAUGAAGGCCUUAGGGUUGUAAAGCUCUUUCAGCUGGGAAGAUAAUGACGGUACCAGCAGAAGAAGCCCCGGCUAACUCCGUGCCAGCAGCCGCGGUAA